CACGUAGGGAGCAAGCGUUGUCCGGAUUUAUUGGGCGUAAAGAGCUCGUAGGUGGUUCGGUAAGUCAGGUGUGAAACCUCCAGGCUCAACCUGGAGACGCCACUUGAUACUGCUGUGACUGGAGUCCGGUAGGGGAGCGUGGAAUUCCUGGUGUAGCGGUGAAAUGCGCAGAUAUCAGGAGGAACACCAGCGGCGAAGGCGGCGCUCUGGGCCGGUACUGACACUGAGGAGCGAAAGCGUGGGGAGCGAACAGG
rnacentral:rRNA from 1 species